GCCAGGUGUUACGGUGUGUGCCUGUAGUCCCAACUACUCGGGAGGCUGAAGAGGGAGGAUUUCUUGAGCCCAGGAGUUCUGAGCUGCAGUGUGCUAUGCUGAUCCUGUGCUAUGCACCAAGUUAGGCAUCAAUAUGGUGACCUACCGGGAGGCGGGACUAUCAGGUUGCCUCAGGAGGGGUGAAAUGGCUCAGGUCAGAAGGAGAGUAGGUCAAAACUUUCAUACUGAUCAGUAGUGGGAUUGCACUUGUGAAUAGCCACUGUACUUUAGUCUGGGAAACAUAGCAAGACCCCAUCCCUA
rfam:Pongo abelii chromosome 3.